rnacentral:rRNA from 1 species
UACGGAGGAUGCGAGCGUUAUCCGGAUUUAUUGGGUUUAAAGGGUGCGUAGGCGGACUGUCAAGUCAGCGGUAAAAUUGAGAGGCUCAACCUCUUCCCGCCGUUGAAACUGUGGUCUUGAGUGGAUGAGAAGUACGCGGAAUGCGUGGUGUAGCGGUGAAAUGCAUAGAUAUCACGCAGAACUCCGAUUGCGAAGGCAGCGUACCGGCAUCCAACUGACGCUGAGGCACGAAAGCGUGGGGAUCAAACAGG